AGUGAACGCUGGCGGUAGGCCUAACACAUGCAAGUCGAACGGCAGCACAGGAGAGCUUGCUCUCUGGGUGGCGAGUGGCGGACGGGUGAGGAAUACAUCGGAAUCUACUUUUUCGUGGGGGAUAACGUAGGGAAACUUACGCUAAUACCGCAAACGACCUACGGGUGAAAGCAGGGGACCUUCGGGCCUUGCUCGAUUGAAUGAGCCGGUGUCGGAUUAGCUAGUUGGCGGGGUAAAGGCCCACCAAGGCGACGAUCCGUAGCUGGUCUGAGAGGAUGAUCAGCCACACUGGAACUGAGACACGGUCCAGACUCCUACGGGAGGCAGAAGUGGGGAAUAUUGGACAAUGGGCGCAAGCCUGAUCCAGCCAUACCGCGUGGGUGAAGAAGGCCUUCGGGUUGUAAAGCCCUUUUGUUGGGAAAGAAAUCCAGCUGGCUAAUACCCGGUUGGGAUGACGGUACCCAAAGAAUAAGCACCGGCUAACUUCGUGCCAGCCGCCGCAGUAA
rnacentral:rRNA from 1 species